GCCUCCAUAGCAAAGGGGUAGUGUGCUCCCUUCGCAAGGGAAAGGUCGUGAGUUUGAUCCUCACCGGGGGCU
rfam:Hordeum vulgare subsp. vulgare, WGS project CAJW01000000 data, contig: morex_contig_66126